rnacentral:miRNA from 1 species
UUGACCACAAAAUCCACAUUG